GACGAACGCUAGCGGCAGGCUUAAUACAUGCAAGUCGAGGGGUAGCAAGAUUGUAGCAAUACAAUUGUUGACGACCGGCAAACGGGUGCGGAACACGUACACAACCUUCCUACAAGUGGGGAAUAGCCCAGAGAAAUUUGGAUUAAUACCCCGUAACAUAGCGAUGUGGCAUCACAUUGCUAUUAUAGCUUCGGCGCUUGUUGAUGGGUGUGCGGCUGAUUAGAUAGUUGGCGGGGGAACGGCCCACCAAGUCUACGGUCAGUAGCUGAUGUGAGAGCAUGAUCAGCCACACGGGGACUGAGACACGGGCCCGACUCCUACGGGAGGCAGCAGUAAGGAAUAUUGGACAAUGGACGCAAGUCUGAUCCAGCCAUGCCGCGUGAAGGAUUAAGGUCCUCUGGAUUGUAAACUUCUUUUAUAAGGGACGAAAAAAGGUCUUUCUAGAUCGUCUGACGGUACCUUAUGAAUAAGCACCGGCUAACUCCGUGCCAGCAGCCGCGGUAACAC
rnacentral:rRNA from 1 species